CCGCCCGCGUAAUAAAAGUGAUGGUAGGAGGGAUCCGCAAGGAGCACCUUCGACCGAUCCGGAUCUUAUUUGUGAUGGAUUUGAGUAAGAGCAUAUAUGCUGGGACCCGAAAGAUGGUGAACUAUGCCUGAAUAGGGCGAAGCCAGGGGAAACUCUGGUGGAGGCUCGUAGCGAUUCUGACGUGCAAAUCGAUCGUCAAAUUUGGGUAUAGGGGCGAAAGACUAAUCGAACCAUCUAAUGGCUGGUUCCCGCCGAAGUUUCCCUCAGGAUAGCAGAAGCUUGCAUCAGUUUUAGGAGGUAAAGGAAAGGAUUAGAGGCCGGGGGGACGAAACGUCCUUAACCCAUUCUCAAACUUUAAAUGUGUAAGAAGCCACCGUCGCUU
rnacentral:rRNA from 1 species